UACGAAGGGGGCUAGCGUUGCUCGGAAUCACUGGGCGUAAAGCGCACGUAGGCGGCUUUUAAGUCAGGGGUGAAAUCCUGGAGCUCAACUCCAGAACUGCCUUUGAUACUGAGAAGCUUGAGUCCGGGAGAGGUGAGUGGAACUGCGAGUGUAGAGGUGAAAUUCGUAGAUAUUCGCAAGAACACCAGUGGCGAAGGCGGCUCACCUGGACUGGUAUUGACGCUGAGGUGCGAAAGCGUGGGGAGCAAACAGG
rnacentral:rRNA from 1 species